CAGAGAGGAAGCUUUGAAUUAUUGACGAAUUCUUUUUAACUAUCGUGCGUCUGAAAGUUGGCUUAUUGGUUGAAAAUUUAGCAAUCAGGUUUUUAAUCAGUGUUGGUUUGGUUUCACAAAUUUUCAGCACAGCAAAACGGACGACCCACUUAGGCAAGCUUUUCAUUCAGGUCCGGAGACGACCAAGUGACCACAUUUCGUUUCCCAAGUUACUCUUGGGGGUACCCUAGAAGGUGUUCUUGAAUUGGUCCAUAUUUUUAUUUAAUUUAAUCAAUAUCUAAAUUUAUAAACUUGUUGAAAGGAAAUCAUUGCUAGCACUGCAUG
rnacentral:lncRNA from 1 species